UACGGAGGGUGCGAGCGUUGUCCGGAAUCAUUGGGCGUAAAGGGCUCGUAGGUGGCCAACUAAGUCAGACGUGAAAUCCCUCGGCUUAACCGGGGAACUGCGUCUGAUACUGGAUGGCUUGAGGUUGGGAGAGGGAUGCGGAAUUCCAGGUGUAGCGGUGAAAUGCGUAGAUAUCUGGAGGAACACCGGUGGCGAAGGCGGCAUCCUGGACCAAUUCUGACGCUGAGGAGCGAAAGCCAGGGGAGCAAACGGG
rnacentral:rRNA from 1 species